UUUGGACUUUGUUUUUAUUUGGGAGCUACUCAAAUGAAGAUGCAAAAAACAUCUUUUUAUGAAGAUGCUUUGUAUAAAAGUGUGAUUUAUUAAUUUGGCCACACUUCAAAUAAAAACAACACUUUUAUAA